rnacentral:rRNA from 1 species
AUUGAACGCUGGCGGCAGGCCUAACACAUGCAAGUCGAGCGGGGUUUUCGGACCUAGCGGCGGACGGGUGAGUAAUGCGUAGGAAGCUACCCGAUAGAGGGGGAUACCAGUUGGAAACGACUGUUAAUACCGCAUAAUGUCUACGGACCAAAGUGUGGGACCUUCGGGCCACAUGCUAUCGGAUGCGCCUACGUGGGAUUAGCUAGUUGGUGAGGUAAUGGCUCACCAAGGCGACGAUCUCUAGCUGGUUUGAGAGGAUGAUCAGCCACACUGGAACUGAGACACGGUCCAGACUCCUACGGGAGGCAGCAGUGGGGAAUAUUGGACAAUGGGCGCAAGCCUGAUCCAGCAAUGCCGCGUGCAGGAUGAAGGCCU